GAUGAACGCUGGCGGCGUGCCUAAUACAUGCAAGUCGAGCGAACAGACGAGGAGCUUGCUCCUCUGACGUUAGCGGCGGACGGGUGAGUAACACGUGGAUAACCUACCUAUAAGACUGGGAUAACUUCGGGAAACCGGAGCUAAUACCGGAUAAUAUAUUGAACCGCAUGGUUCAAUAGUGAAAGACGGUUUUGCUGUCACUUAUAGAUGGAUCCGCGCCGCAUUAGCUAGUUGGUAAGGUAACGGCUUACCAAGGCAACGAUGCGUAGCCGACCUGAGAGGGUGAUCAGCCACACUGGAACUGAGACACGGUCCAGACUCCUACGGGAGGCAGCAGUAGGGAAUCUUCCGCAAAGGGCGAAAGCCUGACGGAGCAACGCCGCGUGAGUGAUGAAGGUCUUCGGAUCGUAAAACUCUGUUAUUAGGGAAGAACAAAUGUGUAAGUAACUAUGCACGUCUUGACGGUACCUAAUCAGAAAGCCACGGCUAACUAUGUG
rnacentral:rRNA from 1 species